rnacentral:lncRNA from 1 species
AAGAGUCAUUAUUGAAGAUUACAUUCAAACCAAUCACUCAGAAGCAAAAAAACAGAGGAAUCACAAAAAAAAACAAAACAAGAGUUUAUGAGAAUUUGGUCAUCGCCACUUAUAUUGUUUAUGAGAAUUGGGGCAAUGAGGUCAUCGCCACUUUAUUCAAUCUUCUGAUUAACAGUUUUUGAUUCGCUUAAAGAACCUUCUGAGCAGAUGGCCUAGAAGUGAUGUCAGCAACCCAAGCACUGACAUGUGGACGCUCGUCGAAGAGUUUCUUAGUUGGAGUACCAAGUAAGUAUUGAAUCACAGGGAUAGUGUGAAGAUCGACCAAAGUGAAGUGAUCAGAAGCCAAAUACUUAGACUCACCAAGCCUGUGUUCGUAAACAUCGAGAACUUUGGCUAACUUAACCUCUUCCUCUUCAACAACGGUUUUGUCUGUGGUCAUACCAUACAAAGGCUUAAAGACUUGCUCCCAAACAAGCUUGGAACCAACUGGGUCAAACUCAUGCGAUUCAAUUUCAAUGCCCAUGGCUAUGACCGCAAUGGCCUUGGAGCCAAGGGAGACAAGUUGGUUUCCUUUGUCUGAGUAAAAAUGAGCUAUGUAUUGAGUAAUUGCUCUUGAUUCUGUCAACAGAAACAUAAAAAAACUUUAGUGUUUCUGCUUUCUUUAAUUGAAUUUAUAGAAAAAAAGAAAAAAGAAUUUAAGUGAUUUAAGUAUGAUUAGGCCUAAAUUUAAGUGUUUUGCUGCUUACCGAAAAGCUUGAAGUCUCCAUCUUCAAAGGCUGGAACUUUACCAAAAGGCUGCAAAGCAAUAUUCAAGAUUUUUCAGAUCAAGAUUCAGUAUAUAAAUGAAACAAUAUUUUCUUAUGACAAAUAUUAUAUGUACUCACGUUGCGAAAGAUGAAAGGUUCUUUCUUGUGUUCACCAUCUUUGAGCUCGAUAUGAACGAAUUCGAAGUCGAGAUUCUUCUCGUGUAGAGCGAUGAGAACUCUUCUAGUGGCUGUGGAAGCUGGGUGACCGAAAACUUUGAUUCCUGCCAUUAGUUAAUUAAUGAUGUUUUUAGUGUUCUUGAAGUGGAGAUUUAUAAAAGUAGAGAGAUCUUUGUUGUUGAUGAAAAGAAAUACACAUAUGGGGAAGUGUAUUUAUACAACUAAAACACAGUAACUUAGUGAAUAAACAAAAACAAGAAAAAAAACUCGGCGCCACCAAUCUUGAAUACUCUUUGUUAUUUCAAGUCCAGCUGAGUAAUGUAUGAUUUGUCUUUUCUAUUGGUUCAAGACUUUGAUAUAUCGUUAAUAUAAAUUAAAAAACAAUAUAAUCGGAGAAAAUAUCAACCAUGGCGCGAUUAACGACAACAAGAAUAGUCUUUUAUCUACUAGUCAAAGUUUGACCGACGUUGUUGAAUCGACGUGGAUCGUUGGAUGUUCAAAUUGGAUAGUUGAGUCAAGGAGAUGAGGCAAUGUGAAGCUACAAGCCAAGAAGCUAGACUUUUUGAGUCGUCGUUUGUAUAUAUCUAGAACCUUCUCUAGCUUCCCCUUGGUUUUCAUUCACAACCUUUAUAGUCCGCCUUUAGGCCGUACUUAGGCUUGAUGGAUUGCUCCCAGGUCAGUAUUGAUGCGAGUGGUUCGAACUCAGAAGUUUCGGUAGCCAUGCACAUUGCUUGUGUUCCCAUGUUUUGUAGCUUUCGUCCCUAUGUUUUCAGAUAUAGCUCGAGAAUAUGAGGAAGACUAACUAUAUCAAAAUUUGCCCGGAAUCAAAUUCAAAAAGGUUUAUUAGAUCAAUUAGUUGGAAGUGUACGUAAGAUCAAGAGGCUUAAAACGUGAGACAUAACAAACUUGAGUAACUAAUCGUUAGGUAAUAAUCAACCCUCGUUAUAACAUGCUUGCUAAGUCAAUGAUUUAUGGCUAAAUUAAUCUAGAAAAUUGUUAAACUAACGUGGAUUUCAACAAAGAGUUUAGAGAUUAGAAGACUGUCGUUUAAACAGAUAAGGCCAGUUAAAUGGAAACCCUAGUUAAGACCUAAAUUUCGUGAAACACAAGUCAUCUAACUAUAGGUGCAAAGGUACAUUGAGAGAACGUUAAACGCGGCUCACUCUCGAGUAAAUGACGGUUUAGCGAGGGAGCUAUAGCCACCCACAGCAAUUCAAUUUUGUUAUACGCUUCCUUAGAAAACCAUAACUUUUUAUCUUAAAAACAACUUCCUUUCUACUCUGUUUUAUUUGGGAAACUAAUUAACUUCUAACUUCUUUGAAUAUUUAUAUAGGAACCUUUUUUGGUGACAGUUAUGCCCAAAAAUGAUAAAUAACAUUGUUGACUUUGAAGCUUGCCAUCAUCAGAGAAGGUUUGGAAUUGAUUAGGAAAACGAAGAAGAUUAUUAGUGUGAUUGAUGAGUAGCAGAACUAAUUUGGAGUUGGUGUUGUAAUAUUUUAAUUAAAAAAAUGUGUUUUUGUCUGAAUUUAAACUUACGAUACUAACUAAUUUGCAGAUUAAGACCUUCAACCAAUUAAGACGCAUUUACAGUAAACAGUCAAUUUCUUUCUUACAAUGGGAAAAGAAAGAAAAGUCAACUUUCAAGACUUAGAAGAAUAGAAUGAGACAUUGAGAUGAACAUUAAUUGGUGGCUAAACUUUAAGAUAAAAUAUUUUAUUAUAUAUGAAGACUCAUUAUUGAAGAUUACAUUCAAACCAAUCACUCAGAAGCAGAAAACAGAGGAAACACACCAAAAAGCAAAACAGAGUUGAUGAGAAUUGGGCAAUUAGGUCAUCGCCACUUUUAUUGUUUGUGAGAGAAUUGAGGCAAUUAGGUCAUCGCCACUUUUAUUCAAAUCUUCUGAUUCACUUAAAGAACCUUUUGAGCAGAAGGCCUAGAAGUGAUGUCAGCAACCCAAGCACUGACAUGUGGACGCUCGUCGAAGAGUUUCUUAGUUGGAGUUCCAAGUAAGUACUGAAUCACAGGGAUAGUGUGAAGAUCGACCAAAGUGAAGUGAUCAGCAG